GGCUUGGUGGCAUAAUGGUAAUGCACUCUGUGAUAAUGCGCAUUUUUAUAUCGACUGACAGAAAGUCCGGAGUUCAAUUCUCCGUCAAGCCG